rnacentral:rRNA from 1 species
AACGAACGCUGGCGGCAUGCCUAACACAUGCAAGUCGAACGAUUGCCUUCGGGUGAUAGUGGCGCACGGGUGCGUAACGCGUGGGAAUCUGCCCUUAGGUUCGGAAUAACAGCUGGAAACGGCUGCUAAUACCGGAUGAUAUCGCGAGAUCAAAGAUUUAUCGCCUGAGGAUGAGCCCGCGUUGGAUUAGGUAGUUGGUGGGGUAAAGGCCUACCAAGCCGACGAUCCAUAGCUGGUCUGAGAGGAUGCUCAGCCACACUGGGACUGAGACACGGCCCAGACUCCUACGGGAGGCAGCAGUGGGGAAUAUUGGACAAUGGGCGCAAGCCUGAUCCAGCAAUGCCGCGUGAGUGAUGAAGGCCCUAGGGUUGUAAAGCUCUUUUACCCGGGAAGAUAAUGACUGUACCGGGAGAAUAAGCCCCGGCUAACUCCGUG